rnacentral:lncRNA from 10 species
CUGCUUAUCAAGCCAGAACAUGUCUGAGGUCUAGCAGAUCUGCCCAGUCAUGAUAGCUAAAGGCUGGGAGUUCCUGAUCCCAGCUUCUUGGAUAUUAUUGGAGCAGAUCUGCCCUAGAGGCAAGGAGAAAUAUUGGAUGAUCUGCAGUGGACUUCCCUUCCAGCCUAAGCAGGCUCCAGUGGAUGCUAGCCAUGACUUCCCUAAACCAGGGCAUUUCCCCCUUGACUACAUAUUGUUGAUCCCCACCCUUUCCACGUAUAAACCAAGGCCUGUGCACUCCCUGUGUGCCAGGCUAAAGCCCAAGUCCCGACUUCCCCAGCAAGGGAAUUGCUCCAUGCGGAUUUCACUUGGUGGCUGUCCAGGAACACAGCUGAGUGACUCAUUCCCCCAUGGGGCUGGCUUUCUCUGCAGGUCCAAUGAUGUGACCCAGUCCUGCAGUUCUGGGAGAUCAACCACCAUCCGUGUCAGGUGCAGUCCACAGAAAACUGUCCCUGGAAGUUUGUCGCUGCCAGGAACGUGCUCGGAUGGGACCUGUGAUGGCUGCAACUUCCACUUCCUGUGGGAGAGUGCGGCUGCUUGCCCGCUCUGCUCAGUGGCUGACUACCAUGCUAUCGUCAGCAGCUGUGUGGCUGGGAUCCAGAAGACUACUUACGUGUGGCGAGAACCCAAGCUAUGCUCUGGUGGCAUUUCUCUGCCUGAGCAGAGAGUCACCAUCUGCAAAACCAUAGAUUUCUGGCUGAAAGUGGGCAUCUCUGCAGGCACCUGUACUGCCAUCCUGCUCACCGUCUUGACUUGCUACUUUUGGAAAAAGAAUCAAAAGUACAUGAUGCGGUAUUGGAGUUUGGGGAUGGACAGGGUUGGAUUAUUGAUCAGGGA